rnacentral:lncRNA from 1 species
CAAAGGGACAAGAAGAGCCGAUGCUGACGUCAAAGAACAGAGAGUUACACAAAGGUGUGUGGGCUUUUCACUGAUGUUGACAAAGAGAAUCAACGGAACAUGAUGAAGGCCCAGAAACAAACAAAUAUGUGUGUACAUACAUAUAGAGACAGAGAGAGAGAGAGACAGAGAGGGAAAUGGUUCAUUUUAUGUGUCAACUUGCCCUGGUUCUCAGGCCUUCAGACAGGCUGGGAUGUCACCAUUGACUACCCUGGUUCUUGGGCCUUCGGGCUUGGACUGGACCUACCCCACCAGCUUUCCUGGGCCUCCCACUUGCAGAUGGCAGAUGGAGGGAUUUCUCAGUCUCCAUAAUCAGAAUAGACUAGAGGAAGGAGCGGAAGCAGAGUUGGUCUGAGAAAGCGGGGCUGACGAGGGCAGGCACUUUGUGGAUUAUACACCAGGCCAAGAGUGAUAAUAACGGAUUCUUCCUGCACCUGGCAGUCCACUCGACUCGGAGGCCAUGGCACAUCCCCAGGCUUUGCAGGCAGUGUGGAGCUGCCCGACGAGGCCCCCACUCUUGAAAGACACAGGCUACCCACCCAGGGAGCAGGAAAAUGAAUAAAUACCCUGUAGGGUAAUUGGGGGCUGUUCCCGCCA